AGCGCUCCAGGCUCCUACGGGCUGUGCGGUGCCAGGGCUCGACUGCUGAGCGUCGUGGGCUCCGAGAGGGACGCGGGCGGAGGGCAAAGUGGGUUCAUGAUAUGAAUUGUAAAAUUGGCGACUGCGUAAUGUAAAACACUUAACAAUUGCUUAGAUUUCCUUUGGGAAAUAACUUGCUUUUAAAUUGUAAACAAAUUACAAACAAACUGCUAGUGCUUCUGGAUCUUCUUACCGAAAUGGCUGAUUCAGGAGGAUGCGGGGAGCGUCAGAUCAGGAUUGCUGAAGGAGAGCUGAGAAUGAAACCACCAUUUAUUCAGCACUCAGAAUGCUCCAGGCAGUGUAAUCUCAUUCCAUCUUCAUUCAUGACUCCAGACAGUUCUGCAUUUUCCAAGUU
rnacentral:lncRNA from 10 species